rnacentral:rRNA from 1 species
CAGCAGCCACGGUAAUACGGAGGGAGCUAGCGUUGUUCGGAAUUACUGGGCGUAAAGCGCACGUAGGCGGUUAUUCAAGUCAGAGGUGAAAGCCCGGGGCUCAACCCCGGAACUGCCUUUGAAACUAGAUGACUAGAAUCUUGGAGAGGUCAGUGGAAUUCCGAGUGUAGAGGUGAAAUUCGUAGAUAUUCGGAAGAACACCAGUGGCGAAGGCGACUGACUGGACAAGUAUUGACGCUGAGGUGCGAAAGCGUGGGGAGCAAACAGGAUUAGAUACCCCCGUAGUCCCUGUCUCUUAUAC